rnacentral:rRNA from 1 species
UACAGAGGCCCCAAGCGUUGUUCGGAUUCACUGGGCGUAAAGGGUGCGCAGGUGGCAUGGUAAGUUUGGUGUGAAAGCUUCGGGCUUAACCCGGAAAUGGCAUUGAAUACUACUGUGCUGGAGGAUUGGAGGGGGGACUGGAAUUCUUGGUGUAGCAGUGAAAUGCGUAGAUAUCAAGAGGAACACCAGUGGCGAAGGCGAGUCCCUGGACAAUUCCUGACACUGAGGCACGAAAGCCAAGGGAGCAAACAGG